GGAAACGGAUAGAGCUAGCGUAUCUGUCCUGCAUUCAGCCACUUGGCAUUGGCGCCCGCGUAGCCGGCGGCCCCAGAUUGGGACGGUUACGCUGGGCAAUGUUGGUGCCGAGUGGUGCAUUUGUAGGUGGAGUGCGCCGAGGCGUUCGGGGCAGCGGUGUGAGCUUAGCUUUGAGGCCAGCUUGCUGGUACCCGGGCUGGGGGAGCAUUGUUUGCCUUGGGCGUUUAUAGAGGGAGUAUGGCUUACGAGCUCGGGUUGGUGUCGAGCUGARAGUCGGCGGCGGUCGCAGGCGACACGUGCUGUGCUAUUAGUUCGGUCCUGCUCGAGCUCACAUGCUCGCUCUCGGUGUAAAAGCUGGUCAUCUUUCCGACCCGUCUUGAAACACGGACCAAGGAGUUUAUCGUGUGCGCGAGUCAUUGGGCGUUGAAAACCCAAAGGCGCAAUGAAAGUGAAUGCUCCGCAAGGAGCUUACGUGCGAUCCUGGGCACCGCGGUGUCCGGGCGCAGCAUGGCCCCAUCCUGACUGCUUGCAGUGGGGUGGCGGAAGAGCGUACGCGGUGAGACCCGAAAGAUGGUGAACUAUUCCUGAGCAGGAUGAAGCCAGAGGAAACUCUGGUGGAAGU
rnacentral:rRNA from 1 species